GCAAGUCGAGGGGUAACAGGAAAUAGCUUGCUAUUUUGCUGACGACCGGCGCACGGGUGCGUAACGCGUAUAGAACCUACCUUUUACAGGAGAAUAGCCCAGAGAAAUUUGGAUUAAUGCUCCAUAGUAUUAUUGAAUGGCAUCAUUUAAUAAUUAAACAUUUAUGGGUAAAAGAUGGCUAUGCGUUCUAUUAGCUAGAUGGUAAGGUAACGGCUUACCAUGGCAACGAUAGAUAGGGGUCCUGAGAGGGAGAUC
rnacentral:rRNA from 1 species